GGCAACCCUGACGGAGCAACGCCGCGUGUGGGAGGACGGCCUUCGGGUUGUAAACCACUUUUCUCAGGGAAGAAGAACUGACGGUACCUGAGGAAUAAGCCUCGGCUAACUCCGUGCCAGCAGCCGCGGUAAGACGGAGGAUGCAAGCGUUAUCCGGAAUUAUUGGGCGUAAAGCGUCCGCAGGUGGUGAGUCAAGUCUGCUGUCAAAGCCAGGAGCUCAACUCCUGUCCGGCAGUGGAAACUGACCCACUCGAGGGUGGUAGGGGUAGAGGGAAUUCCCAGUGUAGCGGUGAAAUGCGUAGAGAUUGGGAAGAACACCGGUGGCGAAAGCGCUCUACUGGACCACACCUGACACUCAGAGGACGAAAGCUAGGGGAGCG
rnacentral:rRNA from 1 species